rnacentral:misc_RNA from 1 species
UUUCCGUAGGUGAACCUGCGGAAGGAUCAUUACCGAGUGAGGGCCCUCUGGGUCCAACCUCCCACCCGUGUUUAUCGUACCUUGUUGCUUCGGCGGGCCCGCCUCACGGCCGCCGGGGGGCACCCGCCCCCGGGCCCGCGCCCGCCGGAGACACCAUUGAACGCUGUCUGAAGAUUGCAGUCUGAGCAUCUUAGCUAAAUCAGUUAAAACUUUCAACAACGGAUCUCUUGGUUCCG